rnacentral:rRNA from 1 species
AGUGGAUGGGGAGCAACCUAGUUGUGCGUGUGUAAAGGUAGUGCCAAGAAAAGCGGUGAUCAUGAUGAAAAUCAAUUCCCGGUACCCGAAACCGACACAGGUGGGCAAGUAGAGAAUACUAAGGGGCGCGAGGUAACUCUCUCCAAGGAACUCGGCAAAAUGACCCCGUAACUUAGGGAGAAGGGGUGCCACCGAGAGGUGGUCGCAGUGAAGAGGCCCAGGCGACUGUUUAGCAAAAACAUAGGUCUCUGCAAACUCGAAAGAGGAGGUAUAGGGGCUGACGCCUGCCCAGUGCCGGAAGGUUAAAGAAGUUGGUCAGUCUUAGGAUAAAGCUAGCGACUGAAGCCCCGGUGAACGGCGGCCGUAACUAUAACGGUCCUAAGGUAGCGAAAUUCCUUGUCGGGUAAGUUCCGACCCGCACGAAAGGCGUAACGAUCUGGGCGCUGUCUCGGAGAGAGGCUCGGCGAAAUAGGGUUGUCUGUGAAGAUACGGACUACCUGCAUUUGGACAGAAAGACCCUAUGAAGCUUUACUAUAGCUCGGAAUUGUGUUCGGGCUUCCUGUGCGCAGGAUAGGUGGGAGGCGAAGAAGGUAUUCUUGUGGGGAUACUGGAGCCAACGGUGAGAUACCACUCUCAGGAGGCUAGAAUUCUAACUUAAUUAAGGACAGUUUCAGGUGGGUAGUUUGACUGGGGCGUCGCCUCCAAAAAGGUAACGGAGGCGUACAAAGGUUCCCUCAGACUGGUUGGAAAUCAGUCGCAGAGUGCAAAGGCAGAAGGGAGCUUGACUGCGAGAAGUACAGUUCGAGCAGGGUGGAAACACGGUCUUAGUGAUCCGACGGUGCUGUGUGGAAGGGCCGUCGCUCAACGGAUAAAAGUUACUCUAGGAUAACAGGCUGAUCUCCCCCAAGAGUUCACAUCGACGGGGAGGUUUGGCACCUCGAUGUCGGCUCAUCGCAACCUGGGGCGGAAGUACGUCCCAAGGGUUGGGCUGUUCGCCCAUUAAAGCGGUACGUGAGCUGGGUUCAGAACGUCGUGAGACAGUUCGGUCCAUAUCCGAUGUAGGCGUGAGAAUAUUGAGAGGAGCCUUCCUUAGUACGAGAGGACCGGGAAGGACGCACCGCUGGUGUACCUGUUAUGAUGCCAAUUGUAAACGCAGGGUAGCCAAGUGCGGAGAGGAUAACCGCUGAAAGCAUCUAAGUGGGAAGCCCACCUCAAGAUGAGUAUUCUGGUGUAAGGUCACGGGAAGACGACCCGUAAAUAGGCACGAGGUGGAAGUGCAGAGAUGUAUGAAGCCGAAGUGUACUAAUAGACCGUCGGCUUGAUC